rnacentral:rRNA from 1 species
UACGAGGGGGGCGAGCGUUGUUCGGAAUUAUUGGGCGUAAAGGGUGCGUAGGCGGUUUGGUAAGUCUUGUGUGAAAUCUCCAGGCUCAACUUGGAGUCUGCACGAGAAACUGCCGGGCUUGAGUGUGGGAGAGGUGAGUGGAAUUCCCGGUGUAGCGGUGAAAUGCGUAGAUAUCAGGAGGAACACCGGUGGCGAAGGCGGGUCUCUGGGCCGAUACUGACGCUGAGAAGCGAAAGCGUGGGGAGCGAACAGG